rnacentral:rRNA from 1 species
AACGAACGCUGGCGGCAUGCCUAACACAUGCAAGUCGAACGAUCCCUUCGGGGAUAGUGGCGCACGGGUGCGUAACGCGUGGGAACCUGCCCUUAGGUUCGGAAUAACUCAGAGAAAUUUGAGCUAAUACCGGAUAAUGUCUUCGGACCAAAGAUUUAUCGCCUUUGGAUGGGCCCGCGUUGGAUUAGCUAGUUGGUGGGGUAAAGGCCUACCAAAGCGACGAUCCAUAGCUGGUCUGCGAGGAUGAUCAGCCACACUGGGACUGGGACACGGCCCAGACUCCUACGGGAGGCAGCAGUGGGGAAUAUUGGACAGUGGGCGGAAGCCUGAUCCAGCAAUGCCGCGUGAGUGAUGAAGGCCUUAGGGUUGUAAAGCUCUUUUACCCGGGAUGAUAAUGACAGUACCGGGAGAAUAAGCCCCGGCUAACUCCGUG